GCCCGUCUAGCUCAGUCGUUAGAGCAUGGAAUUCUUACUCCCAAGGUCGUGGGUUGGAGUCCCACGACGGGCG